UCCUCACCUUUCGGGAUGACCUGUAAUUGCCGUUAUUGGCGUGCACGUCAGAGCGCGACUUAAGUAAUUAAAAUUUCAAACUAAGCCUUGUUUGUUCAACGACAAUGCAGAACAGCAUCGUGCGGCUGGAUCUUACUUUCAUUGUUCCUAGUCAACAUUUCAGUUUAAAUUUCUUUCAUCACAUGGUGCGCUUCUUUUAAUGUCUCCAUGCAGUUUUGAUGUAAGUUUUGUUCCUAUUCUGCCCUCAAAUCAAAACCGCUGCAGCAGUGGGGAGCUUGCAUAUCGCUGCUUUCUUCCUUUUCCUUCUGAAACACCCAGUCUCCUCCUCACGAGCCCCUGCAAUUGAUUCGGCCAAGGAAAAUCUCAACCAGGAAUGCAAUCUACUCCGUACCUGGUAGAUUUGACGGAGCUGUUGGAAGAACAGGACAGAGACGUUAAUGCCCCACCGCCCAAAGGAAAUUUAUAGAAAUUUCCUUACUUCAUGCGGAGAAGACAACAGACAAAAAGAAGAACAUUUUGGCCGGCAUCAACCCGUGGGAGAGUCGGAGGAGGAGGCGGCAGGGUGCUUAUGCCUCCCACAGUUUCUCCUACUAGAGCAACGGCACAUAUACAGGAACGCAAAUUGGAAGAAAGCAACGAAGAUUGGCAAGUCAAAGAGGGCUAUCCGACCAGGAACGCAAUCCACCACAGAGGAAGAUUGACAAGUCAAAGAGGGCUACCUCCCCAACACGAAGCCAGCCAGCAAGUAAACGUUCCGCAGAAGAUGCCGCAGUUGUGGAGAAAUGGACUAGCAAAUUAGACUGGAUGCGUGAGCAUUUCGAGUCCUUCUACGUCCACUCAUUAGGCGGCUCAAGCCGGAGCAACUCUGGUUCUAGUCAUCCCCAGGUCCAGCAGAUCCAACCUAGCUCCCCUCCAGUCGCACAGGACCCUUUAGCUGUGGCCAUGCCAAUUAUUAAUAAAAUGAGGGAUCAACUUGGAUUGGACUCGGUCACAUACGUAAAAGUGUGCAAAUUCAUUGUAGCCCAACCACUAAUGGCUACCAUGUUCAUUCACAUGGAUGAAGACGGACAACGACAAUGGCUACUUGAAUUUAAGGACUUAGGGGAUGCAUGAGUUCCACUAUUUCAUCUUAUUAUGCAGUUAUUAUGUUGUAUAUUUAUUAUCUACAUGGACAUCAUAUCACUACUAACUGAACUUCUGAACUUCUUAGUUUAUUUAUCAUUUUAUCGAGAGAGUACUUGUUUUCCCUCGUAUUCAAAA